AGGAUAAUAGUUAAUUAUAACAUUUGAAUUGCACUCAAAAAGCAUUGGAAAACCAAUUUAUCUUA
rnacentral:tRNA from 1 species